rnacentral:rRNA from 1 species
UACGGGGGGAGCAAGCGUUGUUCGGAUUUACUGGGCGUAAAGGGCGCGUAGGCGGUCAGCACAAGUCAGUUGCGAAAUCUCCGGGCUUAACUCGGAAAGGUCAACUGAUACUGUGCGACUAGAGUGCAGAAGGGGCAACUGGAAUUCUCGGUGUAGCGGUGAAAUGCGCAGAUAUCAGGAGGAACACCAGCGGCGAAGGCGGCGCUCUGGGCCGGUACUGACGCUGAGGAGCGAAAGCGUGGGGAGCGAACAGG